rnacentral:rRNA from 1 species
UACGUAGGGGGCAAGCGUUGUCCGGAUUUAUUGGGCGUAAAGAGCGUGUAGGCGGCCAGGUAGGUCUGCUGUGAAAACUCGAGGCUUAACCUCGAGCUGUCGGCGGAAACCAUCUGGCUAGAGUCCGGAAGAGGAGAAUGGAAUUCAUGGUGUAGCAGUGAAAUGCGUAGAGAUCAUGAGGAAGACCAGUGGCGAAGGCGGGUCUCUGGACAGUUCCUGACACUGAGGCACGAAGGCCAGGGGAGCAAACGGG